UACGUCGGGGGCGAGCGUUGUCCGGAUUUACUGGGUGUAAAGGGUGCUCAGGCGGGUCUGUAAGUCAGGGGUGAAAUCCCAGAGCUUAACUCUGGAACUGCCUUUGAUACUGCAGAUCUCGAGUUUGGGAGAGGCGAGUGGAAUAUCUGGUGUAGCAGUGAAAUGCGUAGAUAUCAGAUAGAACACCCAUGGCGAAGGCAGCUCGCUGGCCCAAUACUGACGAUAAAGCACGAAAGCGUGGGGAGCAAACAGG
rnacentral:rRNA from 1 species